GAUGAACGCUAGCUACAGGCUUAACACAUGCAAGUCGAGGGACCGGCGCACGGGUGAGUAACACGUAUCCCACCUGCCCUUUACUCGGGGAUAGCCUUUCGAAAGAAAGAUUAAUACCCGAUAUAAAGGAUGGGGAUGCGUUCCAUUAGGUUGUUGGUGAGGUAACGGCUCACCAAGCCUUCGAUGGAUAGGGGUUCUGUGAGGAAGGUCCCCCACAAUGGAUAUGAGACACGGUCCAAACUCCUAGGGGAGGAAGCAGUGAGUAAGAUUUGUCAAGGGGCGGUAGCCUGAACCAGCCAAGUAGCGUGAAGGAGGAAGGCUUAUGGGUCGUAAACUUCUUUUAUAUAAGAAUAUGUAUUAUAUGAAUAAGGAUCGGCUAACUCCGUGCCAGCAGCCGCGGUAAUAC
rnacentral:rRNA from 1 species